CCGAGUUUACAACUCCCAAACCCAAUGUGAACCAUACCAAACUGUUGCCUCGGCGGGGUCACGCCCCGGGUGCGUCGCAGCCCCGGAACCAGGCGCCCGCCGGAGGGACCAACCAAACUCUUUUCUGUAGUCCCCUCGCGGACGUUAUUUCUUACAGCUCUGAGCAAAAAUUCAAAAUGAAU
rnacentral:rRNA from 1 species